rnacentral:rRNA from 1 species
UACGUAGGCGGAAAAUUAAGCCAGUAGUGAAAUCCCGCAGCUUAACUGUGGAACUGUUAUUGAUACUGAUAUUCUUGAAUGUAGUUGAGGUAGGCGGAAUGUGUAAUGUAGCGGUGAAAUGCUUAGAUAUUACACAGAACACCGAUUGCGAAGGCAGCUUACUAAACUAUGAUUGACGCUGAGGCACGAAAGCGUGGGGAGCAAACAGGAUUAGAUACCCUGGUAGUCC